UCCGCCAGAGAACUACAAGUGAAAAACUUGAAACUCAAAGGACUUGACGGUGUCCCAUAUCGACCUAGAGGAGCCUGUCCUAUAAUCGAUACCCCCCGUUCCACCCAACCCCAACUAGCAAAAUAUCAGCCUAUAUACCGCCGUCGACAGUCUACCCCAUGAGGGUUCAACAGUAGACACAAUAGCCUUAACGCUAAUACGUCAGGUCAAGGUGUAGCAAAUGUUGAGGAAAAGAUUGGCUACAUUUUUUAUGAUAAAAAACACGAAUUGCACUAUGAAACACUGCAUGAAGGUGAAUUUAGUAGUAAAACAGACAAGAGUGUCUGUUUUAACAACGCUCUGG
rnacentral:rRNA from 1 species